rnacentral:rRNA from 1 species
UACGAAGGGGGCUAGCGUUGCUCGGAAUCACUGGGCGUAAAGGGUGCGUAGGCGGGUCUUUAAGUCAGGGGUGAAAUCCUGGAGCUCAACUCCAGAACUGCCUUUGAUACUGAGGAUCUUGAGUUCGGGAGAGGUGAGUGGAACUGCGAGUGUAGAGGUGAAAUUCGUAGAUAUUCGCAAGAACACCAGUGGCGAAGGCGGCCAACUGGUCCGGUACUGACGCUGAGGUGCGAAAGCGUGGGGAGCAAACAGG